UUGGGAUGGGAUCAGUCAACAGCUUAUGCGUGGCGAAUGCUACGCUUGUUGUGCAGUCGCCUUACAAUCCUGAGACAGACGUUAUAGCACUAUUCGCACUAGACGGUGAUAUCACCCUUUUUGUUGAUCUCCCCUUUUUGCACUUCUUCUCCAUCAGGCAUUUUUAGUGAGAUUUCUUUCUUUCGUUCUUUGGUAGUUAAAGAGAAAUUUAAUUUAAAUAGAAUUAUGAGGCAUCAUAGCUGUCGAAACGCUUGUGUAAUAUAAAUACUAGUAACUAGUAUCCCCCUAAACCAGAUAAGACCGAGAUCAAAACAUACUUGAUUUCCCGUCUAAAUAGCAAGAGCAAACUCUACCCUGAGGAAACACGCAAUAUCUCAAUCCUGAACAGCGACUUCGUCCUCCAGAUCGUCGGCGAUGACCUCACCCCGGGCUCGGCGAAUGACCCUCUCAAUGCCAUCCAAACCUCGCUUCAACACAUCCAUGUUCGGCCCAUAACUCAACCUGACAAAGUGGUGGCAGGGACUGUCGAACAAAUCCCGUCUCUUCGCCGGAUUCAAGUCAAAAAAUAUCCCAGGAACAACAAUCACCUUCUCCGUCAGCAGAGCGUUGAAAAAGUUCAGACCGUCCGAGAUGUUCGCGGAAGCUGGGAGAGGGGGAUCAAGCGCGGUAAGGUCCAGCCAGAUAUAGAAUGUCGCAUCUGGUACGUCCCUGAUCUGAAAUCCAAUCUUCCCCAGCCGGUCUAGCACAUAGUCCCGUUUCUCACGGAAGUGGAUUUGCAGAGCUUGCAUCUCCUUACGAACGAGAGAGGGCUCCAGCAUCGGGAUUGCUGCCUCUUGAAAUGGGACGUUGGCGCCCCCAUCCAGGUAGGAGCCGGCGGAGGCAAGAGCGUCGAUAAAUUCCUUGGGUCCCAAGAUCCAAGCGAUUCGCCAACCGG
rnacentral:sRNA from 1 species